UCUAAACUGUAGAUAACAGAGACUGUGUGGAAGAUGCUGUCACUGCAUCACUGGCUCAUGUUUCCUUUGUUUGUGAUCACACUAAAAGGAGUCAGCUGUCAACAACUCACUGCAGUCAAGACUGAAGAGUCCAGUUUAGAAGGAACCACUGUUACUCUGACCUACAGAUACUCCAACACUAUAUCUGCUAGUGAUGAUUUCUACUGGUAUCGACAAUAUCCAGGAAAACCUCCAGAGUUCCUCCUGCACAUCUCAGGACUUAACAGAUCAAGACCAUCAGAGACUCUGGAAUCAGCCUCAAGGUUCUCCACUAAACUGUCUGGAGAAAAACAUCUGGAUCUGGAGAUCUCCUCUGCUGCAGUGACAGACUCUGCUGUGUACUACUGUGCUCUGAGGCCCACAGUGACAGGAAACACCAAAACUCUGAACAAAAACCUUUGG